GCCUGGCUAGCUCAAUGGCUAGAGCGUUUGACUUUUAAGAAAAUUGGUUCAACCAUACUUAAGGUAUCAAAAGGUUGCGGGUUCGACCCCCGCGUCGGGCU